AACCUUAGGAUCAUAAAAUGAAAACUUCCCUCAAAUCCCACACGAACGCACGACAAUCAUUGGAACCUCGACGACGCAUUCGAUCAAAUCAAUUUCUUCCUUCCUCCUUCGUCCAUUUCGCGGUCGAUCGAUGACGGAGCUUUAAUUGCGCCCCGAUUCAAUCCCUCGCCAAUCGCAAUCGAAAUCCACGAGUAGAAAUCGUAGUCGUCGUCGGAGGGGAUUAAAUGUUGCAGAGACCUCGGCGCCGCUGCGAGGGCACUGCCAUGGGCGCAAUCGUCCUCGAUCUCCGGCCUGGCCUGGGCAUCGGCCCCUUUUCCCUCGGUAUGCCAAUCUGUGAGGCAUUUGCCCAAAUCGAGCAGCAGCCGAAUAUAUACGAUGUUGUCCAUGUGAAGUACUAUGAUGAGGAUCCCCUGAAGCUGGACAUUGUUAUUAGUUUCCCAGAUCACGGUUUUCAUCUUCGUUUUGAUCCUUGGUCACAGAGGUUACAUCUUAUUGAAAUUUUUGAUGUCAAGAGGCUUCAAAUGCGCUAUUCCAAUUCUUUGAUUGGGGGACCAUCUACUCUGGCUACAUUUGUUGCUGUAUAUGCACUUUUUGGUCCGACCUUUCCUGGCAUCUAUGACAAGGAUAGAGGUGUCUACACACUGUUUUAUCCGGGACUAUCCUUUGCUUUUCCUAUCCCAAGCCAGUAUACGGAUUGCUGCCAUGAUGGGGAAGCGGAACUACCACUGGAGUUUCCAGAUGGCACCACUCCAGUGACAUGCCGGGUUUCUAUAUAUGACAGUUCCACAGACAAGAAAGUGGGUGUGGGAUCUUUAAUGGAUAAGGCUUCGGUUCCUCCAUUACCCUCUGGUAGUCUUUACAUGGAAGAGGUCCAUGUUAAGCUUGGAGAAGAACUGCAUUUUACUGGUGGUGGUCAGCGCAUUCCUUUUGGUGCCUCUCCUCAGGAUGUGUGGACUGAAUUAGGUCGUCCCUGUGGAAUCCACCAAAAACAGGUGGACCAAAUGGUUAUUCACUCUGCUUCAGAUCCACGACCUCGAACUACCCUUUGUGGGGAUUACUUCUACAAUUAUUUUGCCCGUGGAUUGGAUAUCCUAUUUGAUGGCCAGACCCAUAAAAUUAAGAAGUUUGUUCUGCACACAAACUAUCCAGGGCAUGCAGAUUUCAACACAUACAUAAAGUGCAAUUUUAUCGUCUAUGGUUCUGAUCUUGGGGAGUCUUACCAGGAAGGAAAUGAUCCUGCGCAGCGGAUUACCCCGAGUACAAAAUGGGAACAAGUGAAGGACAUCCUUGGUGAUUGUGGUCGAGCUGCCAUACAAACUCAAGGAUCUACUAGCAACCCAUUUGGUUCUACUUUUGUGUAUGGCCAUCAAAAUGUUGCAUUUGAGGUCAUGAAAAAUGGGUAUAUUGCAACUGUAACUCUCUUCCAAUCUUGACGUGUCAUAAGACCUAGGCAGAAUUGUAAAUGUAUGGAAACAUCCUGAAGCUGCUAAAAAGCCCCUCGCCGCCACUCUAAAGACCGACUAGGGAUAUGAACUUCUCCAAACGAGCGAUCUUCGAAACGAAGCACUCGUGGUGGUGAACCAGCUGGAUCUUGUACAGGGGAACGGCACUGUGGGUGGAAGAUUUACUUGUACAUACAAAUGUAUCAAAAUUGUACAGAUGACCUAUUUUAGUCUCGUCGCUGUUGUAUGUCCUACAUGACAAGCUCAAGCAAAGGCCAGUUGUAACUUUAUAAACUAUUUCGGAACUUUCUAAACGAACGUGGUAGUGCGGUUUGUUGAGUCAUCCUAUUAUUCAAAAGGUGGUGUUCAUAA